UUAGGUCCCAUUUGUUUAUUUUUGUUUUUAUUUCCAUUUCUCUAGGAGGUGGGUCAAAAAGGAUUUUGCUGUGAUUUAUGUCAAAGAGUGUUCUUCCUAUGUUUUCCUCUAAGAGUUUUAUAGUGUCUGGCCUUACAUUUAAGUCUUUAAUCCAUUUUGAGUUUAUUUUUGUGUAUGGUGUUAGGGAGUGUUCUAAUUUCAUCCUUUUACAUGUAUCUGUCCAGUUUUCCCAGCACCAUUUAUUGAAGAGGCUGGCUUUUCUCCAGUGUAUAUUCUUGCCUCCUUUAUCAAAGAUAAGGUGACCAUAUGUGCGUGGGUUUAACUCUGGGCUUUCUAUCCUGUUCCAUUGAUCUAUAUUUAUGUUUUUGUGCCAGUACCAUACUGUCUUGAUUACUGUAGCUUUGUAAUAUAGUCUGAAGUCAGGGAGCCUGAUUCCUCCAGCUCCAUUUUUCUUUCUCAAGAUUGCUUUGGCUAUUCGGGCUCUUUUGUUUUUCCAUACAAAUUGUGACUUUUUUGUUCUAGUUCUGUGAAAAAUGCCAUUGGUAGUUUGAUAGGGAUUGCAUUGAAUCUAUAGAUUGCUUUGGGUAGUAUAGUCAUUUUCACAAUGUUGAUUCUUCCAAUCCAAGAACAUGGUGUCUCUCUCCAUCUGUUUGUAUCAUCUUUAAUUUCCUUCAUCAGUGUCUUAUAGUUUUUUGCAUACAGGUCUUUUGUCUCCUUAGGUAGGUUAGAAUUCUUAAGCUUUUAUGUCUUCUCUGGUUCUUACCACUCAACAGACUGGCUGCAGGACGUCUCUUGUUUUCCAGAAGGUGGCGCUAUACCUCAAGUUUGUGGUUUCUCCCUUGCCCACCUAUCCUGGUCUAUUUUUCUGAUAGUGUUCACUGGACUUGCUCUUGCAGCUGCACCUCAAGAGUGCGUAAGGAACUGGCCACAGAGUGGGGGAGGUAUGAGUUUAGCACCUGGGGCAUUGGCAAUGCCCAUGGAUCCAGUAGGGUGAUCCUUGGGUGAUGCACUCCCAUUGGCUUGUGGGUAGACUUCCUGCUAAAGUCCUGAAUGCUGUCAGCAGAAACUGCAUUCCUUUAAUGCCUUUCGAUAUUCUUAUCUGCCUGUUUCCUGUUAACCCCCUAGUCAUAGAGGUCCUGCCUCAGUACUUUGGGUACUGUUGGAGAGAAACAGGUUUCUCCAGCUGUGUUCUACCAUCACUGGGGUAGUUGGGCACUCACUCACUGCUCCCUUUUUUCCCAACAGAUGUUGCCGUCGCUGGAUAAUUCAGCCCCUUGCAGUGUUGCCUUGGAGGUGGAGGGCAGCACUGGGAAAGUGCCUCAAACUGUUAACGAGACUUGGGGGUUUUUUUUGUUUGAUUUUCCUUCUCUGAUGGUGGGCUGAAAUCUCCCCUUGGAAAGUCUGGAUUUCUGCAAAUUUUCUCCUAACCAUGUGUAUCUGCCCAGGUCAGCACUCUCCAGGGUUUUUUUCUGACUGACUGGACAAGAGGGUUUGGGACAGUGUUGCUUGUUCCACAGCCUGUUACUGGAUUAACAGAACAAGAUCCGUUAAAAGGGGCUGUCAAAUACAAAAAUCAGAUACUAAAUAAGCAACUAAACAAAUUACAACUAUGAAUUGCCAAAAUACUUUAAGAAAGGCCCAAAGAAAAACUUUGAAAAAAAAAUCCACAGAAGAGGACAAUAAGUUUAAAUAUUUUUUUAAUAAAAAGUGGGGAGGAGACCUUCAAGAUGGCGGAGGAGUAAGACAUGGAGAUCACCUUCCUCCCCACAAAUACAUCAAAACUACAUCUACAUGUGGAACAACUCCUACAGAACACCUACUGAAUGCUGGCAGAAGACCUCAGACUUCCCAAAAGGCAAGAAAAUCCCCACGUACCUGGGUAGGGCAAAAGAAAAAAGAAAAAACAGAGACAAAAGAAUAG